rnacentral:rRNA from 1 species
UACGGAAGGCAGCAGUGGGGAAUAUUGCACAAUGGGCGAAAGCCUGAUGCAGCUAUGCCGCGUGUAUGAAGAAGGCCUUAGGGUUGUAAAGUACUUUCAUCGGGGAGGAAAAAACAAAACUAAUAAUUUUAUUUCUUGACGUUACCCGAAAAAGACGCACCGGCUAACUCCGUGCCAGCAGCCGCGGUAAUACGGAGGGUGCUAGCGUUAAUCAGAAUUACUGGGCGUAAAGAGCACGUAGGUGGUUUUUUAAGUUCAGAUGUGAAAUCCCUGGGCUUAACCUGGAACUGCAUUUUGAAACUGAAAUACUAGAGUAUCGUAGAGGGAGGUAGAAUUCUAGGUGUAGCGGUGAAAUGCGUAGAUAUCUGGAGGAAUACCUGUGGCGAAAGCGGCCUCCUAAACGAAUACUGACACUGAGGUGCGAAAAGCGUGGGGAGCAAACAGGGAUUAGAUACC